rnacentral:rRNA from 1 species
UCGAGGAUCUUCGGCAAUGGGCGAAAGCCUGACCGAGCGACGCCGCGUGUGCGAUGAAGGCCUUCUGGUUGUAAAGCACUGUCGAAGGGGAGCAAGCCGAAAGGUUGAGAGUACCCUUGGAGGAAGCACGGGCUAAGUUCGUGCCAGCAGCCGCGGUAAGACGAACCGUGCGAACGUUAUUCGGAAUCACUGGGCUUAAAGGGUGCGUAGGCGGGUAUAUAAGUCGAGGGUGAAAGCCUCUAGCUCAACUAGAGAAGUGCCCUCGAAACUAUAUGUCUUGAGAGAGAUAGGGGCAUACGGAACUUCCGGUGGAGCGGUGAAAUGCGUAGAUAUCGGAAGGAACGCCGGUGGCGAAAGCGGUAUGCUGGAUCUUUUCUGACGCUGAGGCACGAAAGCUAGGGUAGCGAACGGG